GUGAGGAAUUUUCCGCAAUGGGCGAAAGCCUGACGGAGCAAUGCCGCGUGAAGGAUGAAGGCCUAUGGGUUGUAAACUUCUUUUCUCAGAAAAGAAUUAUGACGGUAUCUGAGGAAUAAACAUCGGCUAACUCUGUGCCAGCAGCCGCGGUAAGACAGAGGAUGCAAGCGUUAUCCGGAAUGAUUGGGCGUAAAGCGUCUGUAGGUUGUUUAAAAAGUAUUCUGUCAAAGAUUAGGGCUUAACCCUAGAUAGGCAGAAUAAACUUUUAAGCUAGAGUUUGGUAGAGGCAGAGGGAAUUCCCGGUGGAGCGGUGAAAUGCGUAGAUAUCGGGAGGAACACCAAAGGCGAAGGCACUCUGCUGGGCCAAUACUAACACUGAGAGACGAAAGCGAGGGGAGCAAAUGGGAUUAGAUACCCGUGUAGUCC
rnacentral:rRNA from 1 species